AUGAACGCUGGCGGCGUGCCUAAUACAUGCAAGUCGAGCGAACGGACGAGAAGCUUGCUUUUCUGAUGUUAGCGGCGGACGGGUGAGUAACCCGUGGAUAACCUACCUAUAAGACUGGGAUAACUUCGGGAAACCGGAGCUAAUACCGGAUAAUAUUUUGAACCGCAUGGUUCAAAAGUGAAAGACGGUCUUGCUGUCACUUAUAGAUGGAUCCGCGCUGCAUUAGCUAGUUGGUAAGGUAACGGCUUACCAAGGCAACGAUGCAUAGCCGACCUGAGAGGGUGAUCGGCCACACUGGAACUGAGACACGGUCCAGACUCCUACGGGAGGCAGCAGUAGGGAAUCUUCCGCAAUGGGCGAAAGGCUGACGGAGCAACGCCGCGUGAGUGAUGAAGGUCUUCGGAUCGUAAAACUCUGUUAUUAGGGAAGAACAUAUGUGUAAGUAACUGUGCACAUCUUGACGGUACCUAAUCAGAAAGCCACGGCUAACUACGUG
rnacentral:rRNA from 1 species